ACAUAAGCAAAUUGAGAGCUAUAGAGACCCUUCUUUAAAUGGAAAAGCUUGGUACUAUAAGAUGGGUGUAUAUGACUAAGCUUCUCUUCAUUGUACUGUGUGUGUUUGAAAGUGUGUGAGAGAGAGAGACAGCAUUGCUAGGGUAUUCAGACUUCAGAGAGUUGUGUUUGUGUUAAGAUGGAGAGAGUUACUAAGGUGUUUUUGAUGCUCACCAUCCUGCUACUGGUCCUUUCAUCUGAUGUUGAAAGAGGAAGGCAACUCAAGAGCAAUGACAAGGUUGAACACCCUCAGAACUUUCUUGGAGGCAUUGGUGGGGUUGGUGGGUUCAUUCCAAGUCCAGGUUUUGCUGGUGGCAUUGGCUCUGGCUCUGGCUCUGGUCCAUCAAGCUUUUGUACUUUCUUCCCAGGUGGCUGUGUUCCAAUCCUCCCCACAAUCCCUGGUAGUGGUGUUCCCAUUGGUGUUGGCUCACCACCAUGAAAGAAUGAAGGACAUGGAUGCACAAUAGGGUCUCUGGCUUACUGGUCUUGUUUGAGGUCUUUCAGAGUUAGGACUUGUUUUAGGUAUUAGUAGUUUGGGAUCUACUAGCUAGUUGCUUUGUGCUUUGUUUAUUUUUCUUUUUCUUAUGAUCGAGUUUCUAGUCUUUUGGGCCUUGAUGGUGUUGUUAGGGUCAAAUCUUGUAGUGUUAGGACUUUAUAUUUGGUAGAAAUGAAAGUUUUCACCUUUGGGAAUGUCUGCUGCUUUUUUGAGAAUGUGA